GCUCUGGCCCCCGCGGGUCGCUGACUUCCUCCGGCCUCCGCCCCUAGCCGCUACCGCCCCCUGGCAGCCGUCUCCAUGGUGCACACCAGACGCCGGAAGCCACCCGGCGGCGGUGGAGGGAGGCAGGGACCCGGCGCAUGAGGCAAGUUACAGUUCUCAGAAUCCAAGUGGAAUCUAACGCUAUGAAACAAUGCCAAGAGAAAAGCAAGGAAAACGAAAAACUAAAGGAGCACCCCAGUCCAUUGUUUCCAUUCUUCAAAAGUUCCUGAAAACAUACGAGAAGCGUUGUGUACAGACUCAGACGUCUGUGUGUCCAGCCAUCAAAAGGGACUUGAAAGCCAGCAUCAACCAUGAACGGAUUCUCAGGAAGAACCUCCCUCGCCAGCACUCCCGACCCUCCAAAAGAAUGUCUCCUUGUCUUGACAUCUGAUGCGUCCAAGCCAUC
rnacentral:lncRNA from 1 species